GUCCUUCCGCGGGCGGGGGGAGGGGGCGGGGGUCGGCGGGCGCCGCCAAGUAGUGCCGCCCCGCCGGCUGCGCUGCGGCACCGAGCGGCAGCUGCCGAGGGACAGCCGGCCAAGGCCAAGCGAAGCGGCUUCCGCCGCUCCUUCCUCGCACCCUUGGAGGGGCGACUGCCUGGGUAGGGCUCGGCUCCCACGCGCGGUCACAAAGCCAACUCCGGGCGGCCCGCAUGUCAGGAGCGCAGUCCAUGAGAACACAUAGCGCCGUCGUCGCCAAGGAGCCCGAAUCCCCGCGCGGGUUACGGCAAGCCGCGCCGCCCACCCCACCGUGCCCGCUCGGCGGCCCGCGCCUCUAAAGCAGCAUGCCUCCCGGCGGCGAUUCAAAUUCCGCGUUGGAGCUGUUUGGAGAUUUACACCUCGCGCUGCCUUUUAGCAGGAACGCCAGACACUCCACCGCGGGCUGUUACCGACGUCCUUAAAUUUCACAAACUGUCUCAGCGCCAACCCCAGUACUCCGCGUACUAGAACACAGUCGGGUAAUAAAACGGAAAGCUCCAGAGUCAGUUACUGGAAAAAGACCAUGGAAAGAAAAGAAUCUUAGCCAAUCACACUGGAAGAAAAUAAAUGAUGUUUACUUCCCAUCCAAUCAAAACAGGACUUUAUAACCCAGACAAAGACAGCUAGGAAUUCCUCUUCUGAUCGCGCCUCAAUUCUCACAAUCAAGGCUCCCUUUCAGACUCCAGAGAGUUUGAUGACAGACCUCCUCUUGUAAACACCAGAUGAACAUUACACAACCGAUGGAGGCUUUUACUUUCAUCUGCAGAAUGAGGAACUGAAGUGACAGACACCUAGAGAUCUACUGUGACUACGGCCAAACAAGGCAAGUCGGGGUGUGUAGAGCACAUCCUGCUGUCAAGAAGCUUUAGCAUCUGCUAGAACGAAUGGUGCUAUGUUUGGAUCUGCAAUGUUCUUGCAAGGCUCAUGUGUUGGAGCUUGGUCUCCAGCUGUUGGUACUAGUGGGAGGAGGUAAAAACUUGGGGGAGGAGGGGGAGCAUGGCUUUGAAGGAUACUGUGACCCUGGCUUACCUCUUCCCCUCCUCCCAGCUCUAGGGAGCAUGGGUCCAGUCGGGAAGCUCUGCCUCAGGCAAGUGCAGAAAAAUAACUAGCCAAGUGACCCUGGAUGAGACCUCUGAACUGCCCUUUGAGGUGCCUUUUCAAGUAUUUUGUCGCAGUGACAGCUGGCAGGACCCAGAUGGCAACCAUUCAAGGUGUCAACAGUAUAUUUUUAUUCUUUUAUGUUUUGGGUUCUGGGAGUUAAGACAGAGUCUUAGACAUGCUCAGUGUGGAGUCUACUACUAGACUAUCUCCCUAUACUUUUUCAGAAUAUGAUGUAGUACAUACAUGUCACAUACCAUAAACAUUCACAUGGGUAGCUGAGACAAAACAAAACAAAGAAAUGCUCCAAACAUCCAAAACAUCAAUGAGUGGAAUAAAAAAUUUACUGGCAUAUACUCAAACACUGGUAAUACUACAUAGCAGAAGAAAUGAAGGAACCAGGCUUACAAGUAAAAAUAAGUAAGUCUCAGAAACCUAGUAUUAAGGAAAGAAAACAAGUAAGGCGUGUAGUGUCUCGAAGGUGUGAGAAAGAUGAAGGGCCUCUCCAGCGAAUCUCAGAAUGGGAAAGUAGGAAAUUAAAUACAAAAAUCUCAGGGUAGAAGAAUGAAUUAGGCAGCAUCACAGAUGACUUAAAUACAAGUCUUUUACAAGUAAGUUUGAGAUACAGCAAGUACAGUUUUUAAAAUGCAAAGGAUGGGGCAAGGGCUAGGAAAUACAGUGUGAAACAACAGGCCCAGAUCAUGUCUCGACAGGAGUAAACAAUUAAAAGCCUGGUGUCCACAGAGAUGUAAAAACGUGGGCAAGCUAUCCUCUGCGACAGCUAAAUUCAUCUACUACAGACUUGAGAGCAUCAGCCUGUUCUCAGCAAUACAGUCAUUUGAGGGCAAAAUGCAGCCGAGAAACUUUUUAUCUGGUUUCCUUACUAAUCAAGACACUGGGGCAGGGUACAAUGGUCCAGUCCUCAUCCCAGCCCUCAGGAGACAAAGGCAGGCAGAUCUCUCUGAGUUAGAGGCCAGCAUGGUCUACAUAGUAAGUUCCAGGCUAGCCACAGAUACACAGUGGGACCCCAUCUUUAACAAAAGGAAAAGCAGAAAUGUUGUCCUAGGAGCUGACAGCUUAUUGACAUGUGAGCACAUGCAGGGUUCUCCCUUCGCUCGGAUUCCCUCGUCACCAGCGCUGUUUGCUUGUGCAUCUGUGCUGUGUGCUCAGGCUCAUGUGUGCCCUGGGAACCAAGAUCAAACUCAGCUUGCCAGUCUUGGGGGCAAACAUCUCCACCUGCUGACUUAUCUCAUCAGCCCAAUCAACUUGCCCUCAUAGCAAAGAUUUGCUAAUCUGGCCAACGUCACGUCCCAUAGGGGAACAAGUGAGCAACAUGAAUGAGAAGCAACUGUUUUUCUUUUAAGGGUAGGAUUUAGGAAGAAAGCUUGAGUCUGACCUGUGAGAAACUCCAGGACAGCAAGAAAAACGAGGAAUAAAAAGAAAUAUUAAUAUGGCGAUUAGUGCUGCACCGGUGCCGUCGACGGACACACAGAUACUGGCUUUAUUCACACUCCACAGCUUACAAAAUCGGUCCCUAUUAUCUUGACCAUCCUGCAGAUUUUAACACAUACAUCACGACUCCUGUGAAUCAGUGCAGGACAAGAAAAGCUGUGCUGUGUGACAAACCUCCUGUGUGCCUCUCCAGCCCUCACAACUGUGAGAGCCACUUCUCUUUCUGCUGGGCAUGGCUCUGCCUUUUCAGGUCACAUGCUUGAAGUCGUAGUGUACAGGCUCUUCAGGAAGUGUUUCUUUCACAAGAAUGUGGGAUGAGGUUUCCUGGACUCCACUGCUUCCUCUGUCAGCACUGUCUAAACUUACUAUAACUUCUCUACCCUCCAUACUGAAGGACAUCUUGAUCACAGGUGAACUGUGACAAACGUUACUAAAGCUGCUACAGACACACGCAGGCUUCCCUGUGGCAUGUCAACACUGGAGGGUCUGAGAUCACUGGGCUGAACGAUCACGUUUGAUUUGGGAAAACCUGACUUUCAAUCUGGCCAUGCCAUUUGUACACAUCAUCAGUAGACUGUCUGCCUCCCUAGUCAGUGCACCUCAUCUCAGGCAGCGAGGCUGCCCCAGUGCUCUGGAUUCAGUCACCUCACAGGUGUGGAAUGCAUCCCCACCUUGUCAACCUUUGACGGAUGGGGGUUGGGCCCUUUUCACAUGCUCAUUUGUCAUAGGUAUUUCCUCCAGGGCAAGGUGUCUCUUAAGAUCUUUGGCCUAUUUUGUAACACUGCUGAAAAGCAGUGUUGAUGAGGGUAUCUCUAUCUUGCUCCUGCCCUAGAGAGAAAGCAUUUGGUUCUUCACCAGGAACUAUGUUCACUUACAGGUUUGUUGACAUUCUUCACCAAGCAACGAAGCCCCUCUUUGUCCCUGUUUGGUGAACAUUUUUCAUAAUGAACUGAUUGGUCUUGGACUUGUCAAGUGCUUUUCUUGUGUGUAUUGAUAUCACAAUACUGCUUUUCUUUGUUAGCCUGCUGAUGUGAUAAAAUUAUUUUAAGUGAUUUUCUACUGUCAACUGGACCUUUCAUACCUAGGAUGCCCCACUUUGUCACAGAAUAUAAUUUCUCAUACACUACUGGGCUCUGUAUGCCAGUUAUCUUCUUAAAGAUUUUUAAAUCUCUGUUCAUGAAA